rnacentral:tRNA from 1 species
GGGGGUAUAGCUUAGUGGUAGAAUGCAUGCUUAGCAUGCAGGAGGUCCUGAGUUCAAUCCCUAGUACCUCCA